AAGUCGUAACAAGGUUUCCGUAGGUGAACCUGCGGAAGGAUCAUUAACACGUAUCCGAACGUAAAAAAAACCCUGUGCAUCUUCAUUGGUUGGUUUGCGAACGACUCUAGCGCCAGCCUGCAAUAAUUACUGACCUGGCACUCUAAGCAAUCAAUGUUCUGUCAGUGUACAUUGGUUGUAACGGGUGGCGGCUUCACCGAUCGUUAGAGGCCCACACGGCCGACGACUGGGUCAGCGAGCUGUCAGUGCUCCCCCCAAUAACCACUCAACAAGUACUUCUGCGCUCCUCGGGGAAACCCGAGGUGUAGUUAAAAUUAAUACAACUGUUAACAAUGGAUAUCUUGGUUCUCGCAUCGAAGAACGCAGC
rnacentral:misc_RNA from 1 species